rnacentral:rRNA from 1 species
CUACGGGGCGCUCCAGUAAGGAAUAUUGCACAAUGGACGAAAGUCUGAUGCAGCAACGCCGCGUGAGUGAUGAAGGCCUUCGGGUUGUAAAACUCUUUUAUGUGGGAAGAGGAAGGACGGUACCACAUGAAUAAGUCUCGGCUAACUACGUGCCAGCAGCCGCGGUAACACGUAGGAGACAAGCGUUAUCCGGAUUUAUUGGGCGUAAAGAGCAUGUAGGCGGAUUCUCAAGUCGGACGUGAAAUCUUUUGGCUUAACUGAGAGAGGUCGUUCGAAACUAGGAGUCUUGAGGGUAGGAGAGGGGAGUAGAAUUCCGGGUGUAGUGGUGGAAUACGUAGAUAUCCGGAGGAAUACCAGUGGUGAAGGCGGCUCCCUGGCCUAUGCCUGACGCUGAGAUGCGAAAGCGUGGGUAGCGAACGGGAUUAGAUACCCGCGUAGUC